rnacentral:rRNA from 1 species
UUCGCCCUUAGAGUUUGAUCCUGGCUCAGAACGAACGCUGGCGGCAGGCUUAACACAUGCAAGUCGAACGCCCCUUUCGGGGGGAGUGGCAGACGGGUGAGUAACACGUGGGAACGUACCUCUUUGUUCGGAAUAACUCAUGGAAACGUGAGCUAAUACCGGAUACGCCCUUUUGGGGAAAGAUUUAUCGCAGAGAGAUCGGCCCGCGUCUGAUUAGCUAGUUGGUGAGGUAAUGGCUCACCAAGGCGACGAUCAGUAGCUGGUCUGAGAGGAUGAUCAGCCACACUGGGACUGAGACACGGCCCAGACUCCUACGGGAGGCAGCAGUGGGGAAUAUUGGACAAUGGGGGCAACCCUGAUCCAGCCAUGCCGCGUGAGUGAUGAAGGCCUUAGGGUUGUAAAGCUCUUUUAUCCGGGAAGAUAAUGACUGUACCGGAAGAAUAAGCCCCGGCUAACUCCGUGCCAGCAGCCGCGGUAAUACGAAGGGGGCUAGCGUUGUUCGGAAUCACUGGGCGUAAAGGGCGCGUAGGCGGACGAUUAAGUCAGGGGUGAAAUCCCGGGGCUCAACCUCGGAAUUGCCCUUGAUACUGGUUGUCUUGAGAUUGGAAGAGGUAAGUGGAAUUGCGAGUGUAGAGGUGAAAUUCGUAGAUAUUCGCAAGAACACCGGUGGCGAAGGCGACUUACUGGUCCAUAUCUGACGCUGAGGCGCGAAAGCGUGGGGAGCAAACAGGAUUAGAUACCCUGGUAGUCCACGCCGUAAACGAUGGAUGCCAGCUGUUGGGGAGCAUGCUCUUCAGUGGCGCAGUCAACACAUUAAGCAUCCCGCCUGGGGAGUACGGUCGCAAGA